rnacentral:rRNA from 1 species
CGUAGGGGGCCAGCGUUAUCCGGAAUUACUGGGCGUAAAGGGUGCGUAGGUGGUUUCUUAAGUCAGAGGUGAAAGGCUACGGCUCAACCGUAGUAAGCCUUUGAAACUGAGAAACUUGAGUGCGGGAGAGGAGAGUAGAAUUCCUAGUGUAGCGGUGAAAUGCGUAGAUAUUAGGAGGAAUACCAGUUGCGAAGGCGGCUCUCUGGACUGUAACUGACACUGAGGCACGAAAGCGUGGGGAGCAAACAGGAUUAGAUACCCUGGUAGUCCCUGA